rnacentral:lncRNA from 1 species
ACUUUCUUUAUUAUACACUUAGAAUGGCUAAUUAUAUUUGGAUUCUUUUUGUCUGGAAUGGGAAAUAUUUCUACGGAUUGAGUAUCUGUUAGAAUUAGUUCGUAAUAAUCCAAAUUUUUUGAAGGAUCAUCGGGUUGCCAAUAACAUUUUUGAGGAAAGAUUCUUUGAGUAAGCUGAUUGAGUGUAGAAUAUAUUGGUAUUUCUUGGAAUCUUGUUAAAGUAAUAUGUUGGGUAAAUGGCUUUGUAAAAUAGGUAUUUUCUGUGGAUUUUUCUGGGGAUUUUGGUAUUUGUUGAAUUGGUCUAAUUUGAGAGGAAAUUGGAGUACAAGCAGCUUGACUGUAGGUCAGUG